GAACGUAGUAGCUGACGCAUUGAGUAGAAGAUCAUAUGCAAGUACGAGUGCAAUAUUGUCAACGCAAAGGCCCAUUUUAUACGACUUACAAAGGAUGAAGAUAGAAUUAAAGACUCCAGGAUCCCACAUGAUGAUGGCGAAUAUACGAGUAGAACCGACUUUAAUUGAUAAAGUUAAAGCUGCUCAAGCUACGGACCUGGGGCUGAUAUAAAUAAAGAAGAAAGUGCAAGAAGGUGCUAUUCCAGAAGCAAGAAUCGAU
rnacentral:lncRNA from 1 species